rnacentral:tRNA from 1 species
GGGGAUUUAGCUCAGUGGUAGAGUGCUUGCCUAGGAAGCACAAGGUCCUGUGUUCAGUCCCCA